rnacentral:rRNA from 1 species
GCCCGCUCAGUCAGUAGUUUGAUCCUGGCUCAGGACGAACGCUGGCGGCGUGCUUAACACAUGCAAGUCGAACGGAAAGGCCUCUUGCUUGCAAGGGGUACUCGAGUGGCGAACGGGUGAGUAACACGUGGGUGAUCUGCCUUGUACUCUGGGAUAAGCUUGGGAAGCUGGGUCUAAUACCGGAUAGUAGCCGCCUUAGUGUGGUGGUGAAAGUUUUCGGUGCAAGAUGAGCUCGCGGCCUACCAGCUUGUUGUGGUAAUGGCCUACCAAGGCGUCGACGGGUAGCCGGCCUGAGAGGGUGUACGGCCACAUUGGGACUGAGAUACGGCCCAG